GGCUUAUUAGUUUAAUUGGUUAGAACGUUAUACUAAUAACUUGAAAGUCACAAGUUUGAUUCCUGCAUGGACCA
rnacentral:tRNA from 1 species